UGGCGGCGUGCCUAACACAUGCAAGUCGAGCGAGGAGAUCCUUCGGGAUGAUCCUAGCGGCGGACGGGUGAGUAACACGUGGGCAACCUGCCUCAUAGAGAGGAAUAGCCUUCCGAAAGGGAGAUUAAUACCUCAUAACAUUGCAGUUUCGCAUGAAACAGCAAUUAAAGGAGCAAUCCGCUAUGAGAUGGGCCCGCGGCGCAUUAGCUAGUUGGUGAGGUAACGGCUCACCAAGGCGACGAUGCGUAGCCGACCUGAGAGGGUGAUCGGCCACAUUGGGACUGAGACACGGCCCAGACUCCUACGGGAGGCAGCAGUGGGGAAUAUUGCACAAUGGGGGAAACCCUGAUGCAAGCAACGCCGCGUGAGUGAUGACGGCCUUCGGGUUGUAAAGCUCUGUCUUCAGGGACGAUAAUGACGGUACCUGAGGAGGAAGCCACGGCUAACUACGUGCCAGCAGCCGC
rnacentral:rRNA from 1 species